rnacentral:lncRNA from 10 species
CAGUGCCCCACAGCUCUUCAGGCCCUUCCUGUGCCUGGCUGCCCUCCCACCCUACCCUUUUGUACCUCUGAGAAGGCUCUGGCCCCACGCACAGCCCCACUGUCACCAGGGCCAGUAUCUGUCUCAGGGACCUCCUAUCCAGAGCCUGAGCCAGCCCCAGCCCCAGCCCCAGCUCCAGCUGCUCCAUCUGAACCUGUAUCUUCUUCCAAGCCACCCAUUACCCUCUUGGAGUCAGACUCACGCAUCUCCAAAGAAGAACUUUUGAGAGCCCAGGCGCUGAGAGAGCAGGGUCAGACACUCCCGAGCCUCUCGGUACAGCUGUAGGGGCGACACAGGUAGGCUUGCAGCUGCGGGAACAGUGCCACCUCCGCACCUAAGCACUCCCAUUCCUGGCCAGCAUCCUUGGGGCUCAUCUCAUACAAUAGCCCCCGGUCUCAGAGCUACCUCCUUCUCCAGCUCUUCCUCGUCCUCAGGCCUGUGCUCCCCAGUCAGCAGCUGUAGCCGUUCCAUGUACUGCCGCUGCAUGCGGCCAGGCAGGAAGAAGUUGAGGGGAAAGGGCAUAGCCUCUGCAUACCACUUCCGGGUCACUUCUACGUAGUUCUUGGUGUCUAUCCAAAAAGUAUGUACCUGGAUUGGGUGGGCAGGAAGAAACAGGCAGGUCUGAGCCAGUGCACCUGUCUGAUUCAAGGUGGGCUUCUGACCUCCAUGCUCUCCUGAGUCUCUGUGUGGGUCUGUGUGUUCCCGUCCCCUCCCCGGCUGGCCAUGGAUGCUGGGAGGUCUGGGCACACUCACCAGCACCGGGAUCAACUUCUCCUCCAGGAGAGACAUGAAGGCCAGGGUGUCUGCCCCUUGCUGAGCUGACAGAUCAUAAUCAGCAUUGUACUUCUGUGGAGGAAAUAUCCAUGGCGUGGACGCUGGGGAGCUGCAAGGGCACUUCACCAGGGAGGAAGGAGUCCUGUCUGGUACCCCCCUCACUGGCCUCUGAGUGCAGUGGAGGUACAGCAAGGAACUUUUCCUGCCAAGGCCCCCUUGCCUGGGCCCAGCCAGUAGCCUGUUGCUGUUGGCAAAAAGCCUGGGCCUUGGAGCCCGCUGGCCGUCAAGGUCCUGGGCCCAUUGAGAAGAAGGAAGAAAGGUUGGGCCGCAAACUAGGAGCAGCUCCCAGAAUUUCCAUGGAAAGCUGGAACAAUGCCUGCUGACAGCAACUUUCUAACAGUAACUUUCCCGACCCAGACACCACAAAGCUAGCACAACGGAGCUCAGAUGCAGGCUAGGACUCGGUCCAUGCCUCAGGAACCAGGGAAAGCCAUCCUCACACUCCCUGGAUCCAGGGAACCCACGCCCAGGGCCCCCCAGCUUGUUCCCUCAGUGCCCAGCUCUUGGCUAUUUCUUUCACUUCAUUCCAUCGCCCAGACACCAUUACCACAUACACAUUCCAUCCAUACCCCCAGGUCUCAGCCUGCCCUACCUUCCCAGGCUCCAGUCCCUGUUCCUCAGCAUCCCCCACCACAUCCUGAGUAAGCUUUGUCCCCAGAUAACCUCUUCAGCAUGAUCCUUAAAUCUCCCUAAGCCUCAGUUUCUCCCCUGUGGAAUGGGGGUAAGAAUCUCUUUCUCUGAAUGCCCCUGUGUUAGGAAAUAAUUUAGAAUACUUCGGAAACAAAAAGCUCUGUUCACACCUAAGCAAUCAGGGCAGUGGCCCUGGCCUUGCCAGGAACUUAGGCUUUUAUCUGGAUCCUCUUUCCAGGCCUCUCAAUUAAUUCCCCAGGUCCUUAACCUUUGGGAAAUUAGAAAUUAGGAAGAGUGUCCCACUUCUGACACUGUGUUCCCUCUUGGAACCUGACCGUCAAUGCUAGAAGAACCCUUGGAAAACAUGCUGGCCCAGCCCUCUAGUUUUACAAAUAAGGGAGUGCACAGCCCUGAGAGGUUACAUGGCCUGCCCAAGAUCACGCAGUCAAUGGCAGAGUAAAGAGCAUAGCCUAGGCCUCCCCACUCCUCUAGUAAUGCUCUUUCAUCUUCUCCAACCUGGCUCUAAGCCUUGUCCAUCCUGAGCCCCAUAUCUAGCCCAACCUAGUCCCUGAAAACAAGAAGUGGCCCUUAGAAAUCUCUCUCCAGUCCCACUAUCAGAGGCCAACUGCUGUCUUCCAGUCUCCUUCAGCCUGUGCUCCUCUCCCUCCCUGACUGACAGGCAGAAGGUACCGUGCCUCUGGAUAUCCCCACAGUGCCCUGAGCUGCAUCUCUUGCCGACUGCUUUAAUACAUCACAGUGACAUUGUGUGUGUCUCUGCCACCAGACUAUUGCUCCUUGAUGCUCUGGGUCACCUGCAUCUAGCAUGGCAUAUAUCUAGUGCUCAAUAAAUGUGUAUUGUACGG